GUGGGGAGUAUCGAUUUGAGAAAGGAAACAGCUUCUCUCACUACAGUGUCGUCUCAUACCCCAGUCUCAUACCCCACACCCUCCCUGUCCUUCGUUUACUUCUGGAUCUGUGCUGGUGUGCUGACGCAGCCAGGACAGGUGAAGGUCACUAUUCACCCUUGUAGAGCUGUGUGACUAGAAACCUGCUUUGAAAGAAAACUGAAUCCAUUGCUCCAGGACCUACAGGUGAGAGAUUUUGCUCGCUCCAAGUCCUGCUGUUCUGAGAGCCUUCCCAAGGCUUUAUGAUGUUACCAAAC